GGGCUAUUAGUUCAAUGGAUAGAAUGCACCUUUGCGAAAGGCGUGAUCCAAGUUCGAUCCUUGGAUAGCCCA
rnacentral:tRNA from 1 species